UAGGCUGGGCGGGUGCUAUACAUGCAAGUCGAGCGGACAGAUGGGAGCUUGCUCCCUGAUGUUAGCGGCGGACGGGUGAGUAACACGUGGGUAACCUGCCUGUAAGACUGGGAUAACUCCGGGAAACCGGGGCUAAUACCGGAUGGUUGUCUGAACCGCAUGGUUCAGACAUAAAAGGUGGCUUCGGCUACCACUUACAGAUGGACCCGCGGCGCAUUAGCUAGUUGGUGAGGUAACGGCUCACCAAGGCGACGAUGCGUAGCCGACCUGAGAGGGUGAUCGGCCACACUGGGACUGAGACACGGCCCAGACUCCUACGGGAGGCAGCAGUAGGGAAUCUUCCGCAAUGGACGAAAGUCUGACGGAGCAACGCCGCGUGAGUGAUGAAGGUUUUCGGAUCGUAAAGCUCUGUUGUUAGGGAAGAACAAGUGCCGUUCAAAUAGGGCGGCACCUUGACGGUACCUAACCAGAAAGCCACGGCUAACUACGUGCCAGCAGCCGCGGUAAUACGUAGGUGGCAAGCGUUGUCCGGAAUUAUUGGGCGUAAAGGGCUCGCAGGCGGUUUCUUAAGUCUGAUGUGAAAGCCCCCGGCUCAACCGGGGAGGGUCAUUGGAAACUGGGGAACUUGAGUGCAGAAGAGGAGAGUGGAAUUCCACGUGUAGCGGUGAAAUGCGUAGAGAUGUGGAGGAACACCAGUGGCGAAGGCGACUCUCUGGUCUGUAACUGACGCUGAGGAGCGAAAGCGUGGGGAGCGAACAGGAUUAGAUACCCUGGUAGUCCACGCCGUAAACGAUGAGUGCUAAGUGUUAGGGGGUUUCCGCCCCUUAGUGCUGCAGCUAACGCAUUAAGCACUCCGCCUGGGGAGUACGGUCGCAAGACUGAAACUCAAAGGAAUUGACGGGGGCCCGCACAAGCGGUGGAACAUGUGGUUUAAUUCGAAGCAACGCGAAGAACCUUACCAGGUCUUGACUCCUCUGACAUCCUAAAGAUAGGACGCCC
rnacentral:rRNA from 1 species